rnacentral:rRNA from 1 species
UACGUAGGGUGCAAGCGUUGUCCGGAAUUAUUGGGCGUAAAGAGCUCGUAGGCGGUCUGUCACGUCGGCUGUGAAAACCCGAGGCUCAACCUCGGGCCUGCAGUCGAUACGGGCAAACUAGAGUACUGCAGGGGAGACUGGAAUUCCUGGUGUAGCGGUGAAAUGCGCGGAUAUCAGGAGGAACACCGGUGGCGAAGGCGGGUCUCUGGGCAGUAACUGACGCUGAGGAGCGAAAGCGUGGGGAGCGAACAGG